UGAUAAAUUCGUCAUUAUUUUGCCUUCCCAGAAUUUGAGCCUAGUCUACGGUAAGAUGAUAAUUAGUCAUUAUGUUGCCUUCCCAAAGUAUAGAGCUUUAUUUUUAGGAGAUUUCGAGAAUUUGAGACAUGUCGAAUUUGAUAUAGGUGGUGCUGUCGAUGGAUUGGCCAGAAAUCACCAAAUAUAGAGCUUUCUUUUUAGGAGGAAACCAGAUUUUAUGCCUUUUGUCAGGUUUAUAUUUAGGUUUCCAGUUCUAUAGGUUUCCUAUUUUUGUUUACACGCUGGACAUUUAGGUAAGAUGGUUAUGAUGGCAAUAAACAAAAUGCCUCUGAUUGUAAGAUGGUUAUAUGGUAAGAUGAUUAUGUCUCCGAUUUUUUUUGUC